CUGCAGCCCGAGUAGUGAUCGUUAUUAUUGGGCCUAAAACGUCCGUAGCCUGUUUGGUAAAUGCUUGGGUAAAUCGUGUGGCUUAACCAUACGAAUACCGGGUAGACUGCCAGACUUGAGACCGGGAGAGGUUGGAGGUACUCCUGGGGUAGAGGUGAAAUUCUGUAAUCCUGGGGGGACCACCAGUGGCGAAGGCGUCCAACCAGAACGGGUCUGACGGUGAGGGACGAAGCCCUGGGGCGCAAACCGGAUUAGAUACCCGAGUAGUCC
rnacentral:rRNA from 1 species